rnacentral:misc_RNA from 1 species
AACCUAGCACACCUGCGGUGUGUACCUGCGGAGGGAUCAUUAUAGAGUUUUCUAAACUCCCAAACCCAUGUGAACUUACCAUUGUUGCCUCGGCAGAACCUACCCGGUACCUACCCUGGAACGAGCUACCCUGUAGCUACCCAGGAACGGGCUACCCUGUAACGUCCUGCCGGUGGACUUCUAAACUCUUGUUAUUUAUAGUAAUCUGAGCGUCUUAUUUUAAUAAGUCAAAACUUUUAA